rnacentral:rRNA from 1 species
UACGUAGGGACCAAGCGUUGUUCGGAUUUACUGGGCGUAAAGGGCGCGUAGGCGGCAUAUUAAGUCAGCUGUGAAAUCUCCGAGCUUAACUCGGAACUGUCAGCUGAUACUGAUGUGCUAGAGUGCAGAAGGGGCAAUCGGAAUUCCUGGUGUAGCGGUGAAAUGCGCAGAUAUCAGGAGGAACACCGGUGGCGAAGGCGGAUCUCUGGGCCGUAACUGACGCUGAGGAGCGAAAGCAUGGGGAGCGAACAGG